rnacentral:lncRNA from 1 species
UUAUUUAUUUUCCCUUGAGUUAAAUAGAGAGUAUAUCCUACUUCCUCUAAGAGUAUACUUCUCCCCUUUUUUCAAAAUAAAAAAGGUGGAUAAAGAUGCAUUAUGAAAAAUAAAUAUACAGACAAGGGAAAUUUAGACAUUCAAAUAAGAAAAACGAGCACUCGUAUUAUUAUUAAGCAAUUCAAAUUACAAAAAUAAAUUUUACGGAAUUGAAAAUACUAUAAGGGAAUAUACUUAAUUUAAAGUUUACGAGAAAAACAGAAAAUAACAAGAAAUUAAAAACACAUAAGUGAAACUAUUCUAUGCCAUGAUUUUUUUCCAUUCAUUGCCAUGAAUUUCUUCAUAUCCUCAGCUAUACUUUGGCAGUGGUUGAGGUUUUUUUUAGUCUUGGUGCUCUCGUCCUCAGUUGGUUUAUCCUUUUCUUCUUCCUUAAAAGAUGAAUCUUCUUAUCUCUCUAUGCUUGAUAUGAACUCUAAUAUCUUUUAGGGCAUUGUAAGUGAUCUUAUAGUUUGUCGAGUCUUAUAUUUCGUCCACUAUAUAGACAUUGAAGGUGGCUAGAAAUUUUGUGAUUAUUAGUCCAUAGGGUAGCCAUGCAGGUGAAUUUUUCUUGCAUUAUAUCAUGUGGUUGAAUAUGGCUUAUACCCAAUUGGUUGAGAUUUCUCAAUUUAUGAUCCAUAAGGGUGUUCCCUGACCACAUAACCAUGGUUUAUGACCAUUAGAAAGAGGAUCCUAGUGAGAAUUUAGUGGAUGAUUAUAAGCAUUGGUUUUAGAUGAGUGGCUUUGAAAGGUAUUCUCUUCUUUUUCAUGGGGAUGAUUACCAGAUGGUUGAUGGAGAUGGAGUGCUUAAAUUUCUUGAAGACUAUUGGUCUAUCAAGAGUGUGGGUCAUCCCUUUAGAGGGAAACUCAAAGCUUCUCCCAAAGUGGUCCUUAUGAAAAGCAAUUUAAACUCCUCUUACAGAUGUUCUUAGAUGACAUCCAACAAGUCUUAUGUUUGAUUAGAAUUCUUUUACUAAGCUUGGAAAAAUCCUAUUGAGUAAGUUUGUGAAUAUUUCUAUGAGGGAAGCCUGACAGAUUUGGUGGUAGGGGUUAAGGAUUUUCCAAAGUCUAGAAUCAAGGAACCAGUGUUGAAUAACUCUCUUGGAUAAGGUUGUCAUCUUUUCUUCUUGUUUCUGAUUUAUGAAAAUGGCAGUGAAGUGAUUUGUUUUGAAUUUUUAGCUUGAGGAGGUCAUGAUGAUACUUAUGGCAAGAAGAAAAACUCACAAAAGAAAAGAUGCAGAAAAGUAUGAGAUGCAUGAAUAAGUGAAGAGAUGUAUACCUAUUUAUAGUGUGUCAUCUGAGAAUUUAAGUGUGUAUUCCUAACAAGCAUACAAUGUCGAUUGUGCUAAUCAAAUAAAAAACUUUUUUAUUUGAGUCUCCUAAUCGAUUGGCUAAGGAAUCCAAUUGGUUAGAUUUUCAAAUUUUUCCGAAUUUUGUGAAAUCUUUAUUAAUUCUAAAAUUUGAUUUUACAACGAUUACUCUUCGAUUUUACUUUAACUUGUUUCUAAAUGGUUUUUUUCAUAAAAAUUUAUUUUAUCAAAAGAUUAAAAUUAAUUAAGAAAAACAAAAAUGGUCAACAAUUGACCCCUAUAUUUUCAACCCAACUUUUACUCUUUUGAUAUUUUUAAUUUUGACUAUCAUGAAAGGCUAAAAGAGAAUUAAAUAUAAUAAAAUGUCAUUGAAAACAUUAAUGAAUUUGGAUAACAAACAAUAUUUUAUGUGAGAUAACUACAAAUAUCAAAUAAUCAAUUGAAUAAUGUGAAAGGAUAAACUCAACAACUAUUCUAUUUUCCAAAGGGUUUCUUGCAAUUCAAUAAAUGCUAAGAAGUAUUAAAGUGAACUAAAUUAAGAAUAGAUUUUUUUAUUAUAUAAAGUAGUUUCAUUUUGUUACAUGCCCAUGAGUAAAAAUAUGGUUAAAGUUUUCAAAUUUGUUUGUGUUAUGAUUCUCUUUUCUUUCCCAAUUUUUGUUUUGGCAAAUGCCUUUUGUAAGCUCUUCUUUUCUCUCUCUUUCAAAUUUUCUUCUAUAACUUUUACACAAUCUUUCAUCUUCUUUCAAUAAUAUUCUUAUUUUAUAUCACAGUUACUUCUUGUGAGACUGACGUUGAUUGCGUAAAUCAUAAAUGCACUUUACCUGAAACAUCAAUGUGCUUGAUCAAUUUGUGUUUAUGUGCUUUUAACAUGUAAGUUGGAAAAUAAUUCUAUUACUUCAAUUCUUAUAUUUUUAUUUGCAUAUAAUAAUAGUCUUUUUCUUUUAAUUAUUUAUCUCGCAAAUUUAGUUAUGUUUCUUUGACCGUUCAUGAUCUUUGACAGGACAAGCAACUCAAGACAAAUAUUUUAGUCACACUAGUGUUGUUUAAUGUAGUUUUUCUACAUCUCCCUUUGUAAAAUAAUGUGAUUUUACUAAAUUUUCAAUUACUUCCGUAUAAAGAUAUCAAGUGAUAUAAAAAUAUAUGUGAGGUGGUUGUAACAAUAUUGUAUAAUUACAAAAUCAUAAAUAUAUGUUUUAUUAUAAUAUUGUCGAUAUUUUAAUUAAUUUAUCUUAAAUAAUUAUGCGGUCAAAUUAUUUUUUAGUAUGGUAAAAUUAGAUAGAAUGUCGGGGUAGCGUCUAUAGUGGAGAAGAUUGUG